rnacentral:tRNA from 1 species
GGGGGCGUGGUGUAGCGGUUAACAUGCCUGCCUGUCACGCAGGAGAUCGCGGGUUCGAUUCCCGUCGCUCCCGCCA